UACGUAGGGCGCAAGCGUUAUCCGGAAUUAUUGGGCGUAAAGAGCUCGUAGGUGGUUUGUCGCGUUGUUCGUGAAAACUCACAGCUUAACUGUGGGCGUGCGGGCGAUACGGGCAGACUUGAGUACUGCAGGGGAGACUGGAAUUCCUGGUGUAGCGGUGAAAUGCGCAGAUAUCAGGAGGAACACCGGUGGCGAAGGCGGGUCUCUGGGCAGUAACUGACGCUGAGGAGCGAAAGCGUGGGGAGCAAACAGG
rnacentral:rRNA from 1 species